GCAACCCCCGGCUCGCUCGGAUUAGCAAACAUUCCAUCUGUCAAGGAAGCGACUUUAAAACACAUGAAAACAUCGAGUGAAGAACUCUGGAAGUUAAUCUUUUUUUAUAAACGUGUGGACUAGUCUGAGCUUCAGACGAAGACUACAAUGUUUGUUUUUAUAUGAAGAGGAUUUCCGGUGGUUUUGUCGCCGUGUGAAGGAUGGCAGGUAUUUUAAGGUUUCUGAAGCUGGGGCUGCAGGUCGACGUCCUGAGAGAAACUGGACGUCAGUAUCCGGUUUUCUGCUUCCUGCUGCUGUCCAUGAUCUCCGUGACGGUGCUGCUCAACAGGUAUAUCCACAUCCUGAUGGUGUUCUGGUCCUUCCUGGCUGGCGUCAUCACUUUCUACUGCUCC